AGAGUUUGAUUCUGGCUCAGGACGAACGCUGGCGGCGUGCUUAACACAUGCAAGUCGAACGAUGAAGCCGGAGCUUGCUCUGGUGGAUUAGUGGCGAACGGGUGAGUAAUACGUGAGCAACGUGCCCAGAACUCUGGAAUAACCGCGGGAAACCGUGGCUAAUACUGGAUAUGUGCCGGGGAGGCAUCUCCUCCGGUUGGAAAGAUUUAUCGGUUCUGGAUCGGCUCACGGCCUAUCAGCUUGUUGGUGAGGUAAUGGCUCACCAAGGCGACGACGGGUAGCCGGCCUGAGAGGGUGACCGGCCACACUGGGACUGAGACACGGCCCAGACUCCUACGGGAGGCAGCAGUGGGGAAUAUUGCACAAUGGGCGCAAGCCUGAUGCAGCAACGCCGCGUGAGGGAUGACGGCCUUCGGGUUGUAAACCUCUUUUAGUAGGGAAGAAGCGAGAGUGACGGUACCUGCAGAAAAAGCACCGGCUAACUACGUGCCAGCAGCCGCGGUAAUACGUAGGGUGCAAGCGUUGUCCGGAAUUAUUGGGCGUAAAGAGCUCGUAGGCGGUUUGUCGCGUCUGCUGUGAAAGCCCGAGGCUCAACCUCGGGUCUGCAGUGGGUACGGGCAGACUGGAGUGCGGUAGGGGAGAUUGGAAUUCCUGGUGUAGCGGUGGAAUGCGCAGAUAUCAGGAGGAACACCGAUGGCGAAGGCAGAUCUCUGGGCCGUUACUACGCUGAGGAGCGAAAGCAUGG
rnacentral:rRNA from 1 species